GGUUGGAAAUCAUUCAUAGAGUGUAAAGGCAUAAGGGAGCUUGACUGCGAGACCUACAAGUCGAGCAGGGUCGAAAGACGGACUUAGUGAUCCGGUGGUUCCGCAUGGAAGGGCCAUCGCUCAACGGAUAAAAGCUACCCCGGGGAUAACAGGCUUAUCUCCCCCAAGAGUUCACAUCGACGGGGAGGUUUGGCACCUCGAUGUCGGCUCAUCGCAUCCUGGGGCUGUAGUCGGUCCCAAGGGUUGGGCUGUUCGCCCAUUAAAGCGGUACGCGAGCUGGGUUCAGAACGUCGUGAGACAGUUCGGUCCCUAUCCGUCGUGGGCGUAGGAAAUUUGAGAGGAGCUGUCCUUAGUACGAGAGGACCGGGAUGGACAUACCUCUGGUGUACCAGUUGUCGUGCCAACGGCAUAGCUGGGUAGCUAUGUGUGGACGGGAUAAGUGCUGAAAG
rnacentral:rRNA from 1 species